rnacentral:rRNA from 1 species
AGUGAACGCUGGCGGUAGGCCUAACACAUGCAAGUCGAACGGCAGCACAGUAAGAGCUUGCUCUUACGGGUGGCGAGUGGCGGACGGGUGAGGAAUACAUCGGAAUCUACUUUUUCGUGGGGGAUAACGUAGGGAAACUUACGCUAAUACCGCAUACGACCUACGGGUGAAAGCAGGGGAUCUUCGGACCUUGCGCGAUUGAAUGAGCCGAUGUCGGAUUAGCUAGUUGGCGGGGUAAAGGCCCACCAAGGCGACGAUCCGUAGCUGGUCUGAGAGGAUGAUCAGCCACACUGGGACUGAGACACGGUCCAGACUCCUACGGGAGGCAGCAGUGGGGAAUAUUGGACAAUGGGCGAAAGCCUGAUCCAGCCAUACCGCGUGGGUGAAGAAGGCCUUCGGGUUGUAAAGCCCUUUUGUUGGGAAAGAAAAGCAGCAGGUUAAUACCCCGCUGUUCUGACGGUACCCAAAGAAUAAGCACCGGCUAACUUCGUG